rnacentral:rRNA from 1 species
GUAUAGAGAUAUACAUUACUUAGAUAGGAGCGCACGAGGGGAAUUGAAACAUAUUAGUACCCUCAGGAAAAGAAACCGAUAGAGAUUGCGUCAGUAGCGGCGAGAGAAAGCGCAAGAGGGCAAACCCAGCGCCUGCUACGGGGGUGGUAGGUCUGCAAUGAGCAAGAGGAAAGGUUAGCAGACAAAGCGGGUCAGUAUAGCCAUAGAGGGGGAUAGACCCGUAUGCGAAAUACAAACCCUAGCUAGCA